GUAUUUAUGGCCGAGUGGUACAGCGCUUGGCUUCUGAACCGAGGGGUUCCCGGAUUCGAAUCUCGGUGAAGACA
rnacentral:tRNA from 1 species